GGGGAAUAUUGGACAAUGGGGGGCAACCCUGAUCCAGCAAUGCCGCGUGUGUGAAGAAGGUCUUCGGAUUGUAAAGCACUUUCGACGGGGACGAUGAUGACGGUACCCGUAGAAGAAGCCCCGGCUAACUUCGUGCCAGCAGCCGCGGUAAUACGAAGGGGGCUAGCGUUGCUCGGAAUGACUGGGCGUAAAGGGCGUGUAGGCGGUUUACACAGUCAGAUGUGAAAUCCCCGGGCUUAACCUGGGAGCUGCAUUUGAUACGUGUAGACUAGAGUGUGAGAGAGGGUUGUGGAAUUCCCAGUGUAGAGGUGAAAUUCGUAGAUAUUGGGAAGAACACCGGUGGCGAAGGCGGCAACCUGGCUCAUGACUGACGCUGAGGCGCGAAAGCGUGGGGAGCAAACAGGAUUAGAUACCCUGGUAGUCCACGCUGUAAACGAUGUGUGCUAGAUGUUGGGUAACUUUGUUAUUCAGUGUCGCAGUUAACGCGUUAAGCACACCGCCUGGGGAGUACGGGC
rnacentral:rRNA from 1 species